rnacentral:rRNA from 1 species
UUUUUUUUUUUUUUUUUUUAUUAAAAAUAUUUUUUAUUUUAGUAUUUCGAAUUAAUAUUUUUUAAUUAUAAUUUAUUUAACUGUGAAGGUUAAUUAUUUAUUUAUAUAAAAGUAGUUUUUUUUUGACGUACCUUUUGCAUCAGGGUUUAUUAAUUUAAAAUAAAUAUUUAUUUUUCUCGAAAUUUUAAGUUUAAAGUUAAAAUGUUUUUUAUUGUUAUAUAUUUAUAUGUAAUUUUAUCUUAGAAGUGAUAUGCCUUUCAUUUAAAAUUAUAUCUAGUUUUUUAAUAAUUAAAUUUAAUUUAGAUUAUUUAAGUUUAAAUAUUUUCAAUUAUUUAUAAUUUAUAUAAUUAAAUCAGUUAGGGAUAAGCUUGAUUGAUUUUUUAAAAAGUCUAUUUUUUAAAUUUUUUAUAGGAUUGAUAAUUUCCAUUAUUAUUUUUUUAUAAUUAUUUUUUUAUUUUUAAGAUUUUUUUUCUUUUAAUUUUUUAUUAAUUUAAUAGUUUUAAUUUGAAAAGUUUUUUAAUAAUGAUAAAAUUAGUAAUUUUAAUAUUUUAAAUAUAGGAACUCGGCAAAAUUAAUUUUCACCUGUUUAACAAAAACAUGGUUUUUUGAUUUCAAUUUAAAAUCGGGCCUGCCCAUUGAUUUAAAAAAUUAAAAGGCUGCGGUAUUUUAACUGUACGAAGGUAGCAUAAUCAUUUGUCUUUUAAUUGAAGGCUAGUAUGAAUGGUUUGAUGAAAAAUUUUCUUUCUUUAUUUAAUUUUUUUGAAUUUAAUUUUUUAAUUAAAAAGUUUAAAUUUUUUUAUAGGACGAGAAGACCCUGUAGAAAUUGAUUUUUUUUAUAAAAAAAUUUUUUUGGUUAUUAGAAGAUUUAUUUAGAAUAAAAAAUUUUGUUGGGGUGACAGUAAAAUUUUAAUGACUUUUAUUGAUUUUUUUCAUUUAUAUAUGUUUUGAUCCAGUUUUAUUGAUUAAAAGAUUAAUUUACCUCAGGGAUAACAGCGUUAUUUUUUCGGAGAGUUCCUAUUGAUGAAAAAGUUUGCGACCUCGAUGUUGAAUUAAGAUAAGAUUUGGGUGUAAAAUUUCAAUUUUCUUGGUCUGUUCGACCAUUAAAUUCUUACAUGAUUUGAGUUCAGACCGGUGUGAGCCAGGUCGGUUUCUAUCCUUAUUUUUUUUAUAAUUUAGUACGAAAGGACCAUUUAUAACAAUUAGAAUUGUUUUUUAGAAUAGA